GGUUAAGCGACUAAGCGUACACGGUGGAUGCCCUGGCAGUCAGAGGCGAUGAAGGACGUGCUAAUCUGCGAUAAGCGUCGGUAAGGUGAUAUGAACCGUUAUAACCGGCGAUUUCCGAAUGGGGAAACCCAGUGUGU
rnacentral:rRNA from 2 species